GUAAAGGGCAGCCAAUGCUCACAUAAAAGAGCAGUGAAAGUAAGAUCUUUUUUUUAAAAUCAGUUAAAAUGGUAAAUAGGGAACAAAGCAGGGAGAGAGAAAUAAAAGUGGCCAUCUAAAACAUAGACUGCUAUUUUGAAAAAUCCUUAAUUACCUUAUAAAUGCAUCCAUAUAACAUACUGAGCUUAAAUAUCUUUCUACCCAUUGCUCACAAAGACGUUCGGAAGGUUAAGCACUGUUACCCCUGUUUUACAGAUAGAAAAGCUGAGGUGCGGAGCAUAAGAGUGUCUUGCUCAAGAUUGUGCAUGCUUGUGUCAGAGCAGAGAGGACUUCAGUGUUUUCACUGUGGGAAGACGCUCUGUGAAGCAUCCUGUAUAUCCAGUCUGGUGCACAUCCUCAUCCCAGCCCUGCUCCACUUUCAUCUCCAGCUCCAUUGUGUGCUCCACAAGGUCUCCUACCCAAAACGCCAAGGGGACCAGAACCAGAGCCCCACAAGUUGCUCACCUGCCUUACAGUGUGGACACGACCCAAAUCUUCAGACUCGGUUACGCUGCACAUGACAGAUUUGGUGCAAAAAAAUGCCUGAAGUGCUGCCUGCUGUAGGGAGGAGGACAAGAGACGAUUAGCCCUCAUCAGACUGUGAGCAGACAGAGGAAAAACCUUGCCUUCAGGACCCCUGGAGAAAGAGACGUUGUAAAAUUAAUUUACAUAUCAAGAUCCUCACUUAAAACACAAAAAGACUCCCGUCUGACUCAAAAGAUGUUAUAAGAGGAUUCGAUUGUAUCAUUGUGAAUUUGAUAUCCUUAAAGAACCUUGCCGGUAUUGUUAAGACUCUCCACAUCCUUGAAUGUUAAUUAAGAAAGAUAACACAGAGAGCAUGAUGGAAGUGCUUAGGUUAUAGCAGGACUUUGGCUUGAAAUGAUCCAUGACAGCUGCAGAAGACUCUGCCAAAUCUUGCCCUGGGCACAAAAUUUUUUGUAAUGUUUGUUUUCGAGUCAAGGGGCUGCAAAAAGAUGGCAUUGUAUUAUUUCUGGGUGCAUGGGGAAUGGCCCACCUACAAAACAGCAUUGCCUCCGAGCCACCCAAGCAGCUGCUGAACUCCCCACAUAAUGACAGAGCACAGGGUGGGAAGGGGAUCUGGUCACAUAAGAAACUGCAGGAGGGGUUUUGAAAUAGAGAAUACUGGAGCUGGAAUCCGGCCAGGUCACUGGGGUUAACCCCCUUGCUGCUGCGAAAUGCCGUGGGAUUUUUAAUGGCUGCGAGUGUUGAGGAGCUUGUCUUUCACAUCUCGUCUGAUGGCAGGAGAGCGGGGAAUUAGUUUACUCUUUUUAACACUGGGCUUCUGUACUGCAAGUGUCACAAAGGAUAUUUCUUUGCAGGCAGAUGUCGGCUGCCAGUGGGAAGCUGAGAAAUGCCAGUUUUAAUUAAAAGCUUUAUUUUCAAAUACAAUUCCGAGAUUAUAAGCAGUAAGAAGGACUUGUCCGCUGGGAGGCUUCAGUGUGCGGCCCUGAGCAAAACAGCAGUAAUUGAAAGACAAGACCUAAUUCCCCUUCUCCCAGCUGGGUCUAACCACGAGGCAGGGACAUCAAUCCAGCCCUUCAAGGAGGGCUGGGAGACCUCGGGUUUGCCAUUGCCUCUGUUGUUGGAGGGAAAGAAGCCAAAGCAAGGCUUUUAGAUCUUCCUAUCCCUUUUCUCUAAAGUUGGCUUAAGAAGAGAAAACAAAACAGAGGGGCAAAGCUGUGGGAGAGGGCUGAAAGGCACCUGUGUGAUAUGUCUUCAUCACAUGCUCAAAUUCUCGUUACAAACUUGUGUUUUCCAAUCAUUACCCCAAUUUCUAGCACUUGCACCCAUGCUAAUCUACUCCAGUAUGGUUCUGGACCACAGGAAAGAUUUCACAGAUUCAGCUGGCUAUGGUAACUUCACACAUUUCCCAUCUCAUACAAAGGCAUAGCUGAAAAUGGGACAACGCGAGACCCGAAUGCUCUAUGCUAACUUUACUUAGCUGACAAUAGCUCCAACUAUUAAAAGCUCCAGGGGUUUUAUUGGCCACUUUUAAAUAAUUCACUAAUUUUAAACGAAAAACACCAACAACCCAACAGCUCCUACCAACAAUUCCAUCUGUUCUACAAAAUCACCCUCACCAUAUCUGCCCUUUGUCUUUACAAAUUUUUUAUGGUGCCUGCACUUCUAAUCUCUUGAUGGGUCUGUUUCAUUACUCAUCAUACUUAAUGAAAGUAAAAACCAUGACUAGAGAAUAAAUUUUCUCCCUUAGAAUUUAAUGCA
rnacentral:lncRNA from 1 species